AGGUGGCUGAAUUAUGUCUUUUAAGGGUUAUGAGCAUCACAUUUUGGGAAACACUUGUUUUAACUCAUAUUACCAUAAUACUCAGCCAAGAAAUUAUAAGGACUUCCCUGGUGGCGCAGUGGUUAAGAACCCGCCUGCCAAUGCAGGAGACACGGGUUCGAGCCCUGGUCCGGAAAGAUCCCGCAUGCCACGGAGCAACUAAGCCUGUGCACCACAACUACUGAGCCUGUUCUCUAGAGCCCAUGAGCCACAACUACUGAGCCCACGUGCCACAACUACUGAAGCCCGUGCGCCUAGAGCCCGUGCUCCGCAACAAGAGAAGCCACCACAAUGAGAAGCCCGUACACCGCAACGAAGAGCAGCCCCCUCUCGACGCAACUAAAGUAAUCCCACGUGCAGCAAUGAAGACCCAACGCAGCCAUAAAUGAAUAAAUAAAUAAAUAAAUAAAUAAAUAAAUUUAU